rnacentral:lncRNA from 1 species
CCUUGAGAUGGAUCUGAACGAGACAAUACCUCGACCAUAGACUGACCUCAAUACACCAACCAAGUUGAGUUACAUGAGCAAUUAGUUGGAAUCUUCCAACAAACUCUCAAAACGUGGUCAUGUCAACCGCCCACGACUAAUAACCUGAUUAGUGGGUGGAUCCUUUAUCCUAACAACCUACGGGUUUAGGCAUAACAAACUCCUGCACCUCUUCUAUAUAAAGGUAAUAAGGAGAUCCCAAAAGAGAUAACAGACUACACCAUACUAAGCUAGCUCUCUCUCUCUUUCACUAC